rnacentral:lncRNA from 1 species
UACAUAGUAACAAUAUUUUUCUGUGGUGUUUUGAGUAUACAUAUAGGUGUGUAACUAUAUUUUGCACGCUUUUUAACAGGCUGUAAGCUGUCGGCUUGCACAAAUAGCUGGAGAGGCACAAAAUGUUGUGGCUUUGUCAACAGACACCUUCAUUUUAUGGCACAGAGACUGGAUAGCCUCCAAAAAAAUUGAAGAAUCACAUGUAAAAGUGCUUGAGGUAUUAAACUACAUACCUUGACAUUGGGGUUAUUUCCAAGUAUGUGUUUCUCUACAAAGUUUAUAAUUAAUAUAUAUAUUUGUUUCAUUUUAGAAUUCCCAGAAAAUCCUUUGUCCACGGAUUGUUGAAAAUGGAGAUUUACCAGAGAGGGGUGCCACUUCAUCAUUUGGGUUUUUGAUGUGCCAGCAAAGGAGAUCAGAAUUUAUGACAACACACAACAAUACGUCACAAUUAGAAAUUCUGACAUGGACAUCCUCAAGGAAGCUUUUAAGCAGUAUGAGUCCCUAGAGGGCUGGACUGUAUCUAAUCCACACCAAUGGACCAAAAAUGAUGGCUACAACUGUGGAGUUUUUGUUUGCACGAUGGCAGAGAUGGAAGCAAAACAUCUCAAAAUGUGUCCUGAAGUGCUGCACACUGGACAACUU